rnacentral:rRNA from 1 species
ACUCCUACGGGAGGCAGCAGUAGGGAAUCUUCCACAAUGGGCGCAAGCCUGAUGGAGCAACACCGCGUGAGUGAAGAAGGGUUUCGGCUCGUAAAGCUCUGUUGUUAAAGAAGAACACGUAUGAGAGUAACUGUUCAUACGUUGACGGUAUUUAACCAGAAAGUCACGGCUAACUACGUGCCAGCAGCCGCGGUAAUACGUAGGUGGCAAGCGUUAUCCGGAUUUAUUGGGCGUAAAGAGAGUGCAGGCGGUUUUCUAAGUCUGAUGUGAAAGCCUUCGGCUUAACCGGAGAAGUGCAUCGGAAACUGGAUAACUUGAGUGCAGAAGAGGGUAGUGGAACUCCAUGCGUAGCGGUGGAAUGCGUAGAUAUAUGGAAGAACACCAGUGGCGAAGGCGGCUACCUGGUCUGCAACUGACGCUGAGACUCGAAAGCAUGGGUAGCGAACAGGAUUAGAUACCCCUGGUAGGAUAGCC